UUAAUUGCCCCUUCGCAAACUCCACUUCGCAGCAUCUGAAGACUCAUCCGCCGCCGCUGCGCAGACUCCGCAGAGUUCGUUUCCGCGGCGGUGGUCCGGAAGCCCAGCCCUGCGGCGCGACCGCCGCUCCCGGCAUCCCCCGCCCUGCGCGUCACGUGACAGCGCCGCCUCUCAACAGCCCAACAAAUACCUGCCCAGCAAAUACCGCCCCCGGGCGGGGCUCAAGGCGUGACCGGCAGCCCGUGACCAGCAGUCCGUGGCCGCGCGCCGCCGUCUUCGCUGCGCGCACGACGCCCGCGGCUGGCACUUCUGUGGGCUAGUGUCCCGGAGAGCUCCCGGCAAGGAUUCUGCCUACUGAGGAUACUCAGGAAUGCUAACCUUUAACCAGGAUAUCUACUCCAGGACUUUGGACGCCUACUCAUCUCACUUUUCGUAGAUACAACUUCUCCAGGAUUCUGGUUGGUCACAGUUUCUGGGGAAACUUACAAGAGGAAGGUUAGUGGGACAAACUAAAAUCUCUGCUGCUGCGGUUAGUCCAGAGAUCAAACUAAUGCCCAUCUUCUUCCACCUCCACCACCCAUAUUAGUUUCCCCUCCUUUGUCCCUUGAAUGUUGGAGAGAACUCAGUGAUGAAGCCACCUGGGUCUGGAAGUUUAUUUUCUUAUGUUAUUUUUAACCGUAGAUUCAACCUUUUUAAUGGUUCUAGGGCAAUUUUUUCAAUUUCUUCUUAAGUUAGUUUAGUAAGUAAUAUUUUUCUAGGAAUUUGUCUCUUUUAAGGUUUAAAAUUUAUGUAAAGUUUAUAAUAUUUCCUUAUUAUUCUUUUAAUGUCUGCAACAUCUGUAGCAAUAUCCCCUUUUCAUUCUGAUUUCAUUUUUAUGCUUUCUCUCUUUUUUUCUUCUUGAGCUUCAGUAGAGGUUCCUUUCAAAGAACCAACUUUUGUCUUCAUAGGUUUUUUUCUGUAGUAAGUUUGUUUUCUAUUUCUUUAAGUUCUGCUCUUUUAAAAAAAAAUUCACUCUCCUUGUAUAUAUUUUGGUUUUUCUUCUAACUUUUUGAAAUGGAUGCUUAGUUCAUUAAUUUUUAUACUUUUUAUUUUUAUUCUUUCCAUUUAAGGUUAAACAUUUUUCUCCAAAUACCGUUUAGCAAGAGCUCACACGUUUUGAUAUGUAGUAUUUUAAUCAUUUAUUUCUAAAUAUUUUGUAGUUCCCAUUGUGAUUUCCCCUUUGACUCAUAGGUAUCUUAGAAAUGUGUUUCUUAAUUUCCAAACAUGAGUAUUUUCUAGUUAUCUUUUACUAAUUGAUUGUAGUCAGCUUGUUCUGUAUAAUCUUAAUCUUUUAAAUUUGUUGAUAUUUCUGUUAGGGUUCUGUUUAUGGUGAGUUUUUAUAAGUGUUACAUGUGUGCUUGAAAAUAAUAUGAAUUCUAAAAUUAUUGGAUUUUAUGUAAUGGUUCUAUGUAAUGCCAGUAGAUCAGGUUUAUUAAUUAUAUUCAAAUCUUCAUCCUUACUGAUUUUUUGUCUAUUCUAGGCAUUAUAGAGAGAAAUGUGUUAAAGUACACAACUGUGAUUAUGAAUUUGUCUAUUUCCCCUUUUAAAUUUUUUGCUUUAUAUCUUUGAGCCCAAUUAUCAAGUGCAUACAAAACCAAAGUUGUUGUACUUCCUAGUAUGCUAACCUUUUAUCAUUAUGAAGUUGCCCUUUUUAUUUCUAGUAAAAGAAUUUUUUUAGCCUUAAACUCUAUUUUAUCUGAUAUCAGUAUAGCUAUACCACCUUUUUUGGUUAAUCUAUGCAGGGUAUAUCUUUUUCCAUCCUUUUAGUUUCAUCCUUUCUGUAUAUAUGUGUUUUGGAUAUGUCUCUUAUAAAUAGCAUAUAAUUGGGUUUUGGUUUUUUAUAGCCUUUGUCUCUUAACUGGAACACUUAGUCCAUAUUCAUUUAAUAUAACCACAGAUGUAUUUAGGUUUAAGUUUGUCUUCAUAUUUUAUGCUUUCAGUGUGUUUGUCCUGCUAGAACUCCAUUUCAUUUUAGCUCUUUUUUCCCUUUUUUUUGAGGUGGGUGGGGCACUAUUUUUAAUCAUUUGCUUUUUUCCUUAUAGUUUGGACAUUAUGCACUAGCUCUUCUUUAAUGGUUACCCUUGAAAUUUUAACUUAACCAAAGUUGAUAAAUUAUGGAAGUGAUAAAUAGCACUACUCUUCUUUUGGACAGUACCAGGACAUUAGACCAUCUGAACUGUCUUUUCCCCUUGAUGCUUAGUGGUAGACUUGUUGUAAUACAAUGUGUCAGCUUUGAUUAGAGUCAUUUAAGCACCCACAAAUGGAACAAAUGAGAUGAGGGAGGAAAAAAGUGAGAGAGCAGAGAAUUUCCUUGAGAAAACUGUGUAUAUUUGUCAGGACUCUUGGUUGCAAGUGACCAGCUUAGGCACUCUUAACUUUAAAAAGAAAAUCUAUUGGCUUAUAAAACUGCAUAGCUGAAAAUAGGGGCUCAAAAAAUAUUUUUAGGGUUCUCUCUCUGUCUCUCUCAGUCACUCAACCUUGCUUGUCUUAAUUUGGCUUCGUUCCUCAGAUGGACUCUUCUGAGUUGUCCCUAUCUCUGGCAAGGGGGAGGGGAUAUUCUGAUCACCUACUUUGGGUCAAGUAUCCAUCCUUGGGGGAUGGAGGACUGAGGCACUCUGAAUGACAGCCCCACCAGGACUAAAUGAAGUGGGAGUGGGGUUCUUCUAAGAAACCAAAAGAGGGAAGGUGUGCCAGGCAGGCAAAAGUUACAGCUACCAACCAUCCCUACACUGAGUAAUGGCUGAAGGAGAGAUACAAAGAAAGAAGAGGUUUAGAGAGGUUGCAGUUGGAAUUAACUCAGUUAAUCUGUACAAGAAGAAAAAGGGGAGGACAUUACCUGUUCAUGAGCCCACUGACAGGGAAGGAGGAGGCCGAUCAAACAACCACCUCCUUCACCCACCAGCCACUGGGCACUUCAGCAUUGUUGGCUGAGGACGUCUUGGUGGUCCACAGCAGCAGAGGUGUGGAGCUCUCUAGUAUGUGGAGAUGUUUUCAACAUGUCAGCCGUGGUGCUUGCUAUUCCCCCAGCCUCUUCUAAGAGAAAUUUCUACAUCCACAACUCCUGUUCAUGGAGGGGCAGCCCGAGACAUCCAUGUUUCUACCAUAAAAUCUUGCUCUAUCCCUGCCCCCUGGUCAGAAAUUAUGGAACCAGAGAUGGACGUCAGACCCAAUAACAGCCAAUUCAUAGUCUCACCAGGGACCUCUGAUGUGACAGUGGAAAGAAAGAUGCAUGUUCUCUUAGAAAUUUGAACUGGGGACUACAGUUGGACACAGCUAUAGAAAUCGAAGCUGAAAUGGUAUAUAGAAAGAAGCCAUGAGGUAGAGUCAAGCCUUUGAGGAGUCUUGGCUAGCUGAUCUUAGGAGGAAGCAGAAGUAAUGAGGUAGAGAAAAUUUUGUGUAGCCUCCAGGCAAAAAGAGAAUGGAGCAGACCCUUGGAGAGUGACUGAAUCAUGCGAUGAGUGAAGACCCAGACUCCAGCUGCUGAGGGCCUUGGGGCUGCCAUUGAUCCAGACCUUUCUAGACUCUGGGAA